AUGAACGCUAGCGGCAGGCCUAAUACAUGCAAGUCGGACGGGAUAGGAGAGCUUGCUUUCCUUGAGAGUGGCGCACGGGUGCGUAACACGUAUGUAACCUACCUUAUCCAGGGGGAUAGCCUCUCGAAAGAGAGAUUAAGACCGCAUAACAUUAUUGAACAGCAUUGUUUAAUAAUCAAAUAUUUAUAGGGAUAAGAUGGGCAUGCGGGACAUUAGCAGUUGGCGGGGUAACGGCCCACCAAGGCGACGAUGUCUAGGGGAUCUGAGAGGAUCGACCCCCCACACUGGUACUGAGACACGGACCAGACUCC
rnacentral:rRNA from 1 species